rnacentral:rRNA from 1 species
UACGGAGGAUCCAAGCGUUAUCCGGAUUUAUUGGGUUUAAAGGGUGCGUAGGCGGCUUUUUAAGUCAGGGGUGAAAGACGGUAGCUUAACUAUCGCAGUGCCCUUGAUACUGAAGAGCUUGAAUAUAGUUGAGGUAGGCGGAAUGUGACAAGUAGCGGUGAAAUGCAUAGAUAUGUCACAGAACACCAAUUGCGAAGGCAGCUUGCUACACGGAUAUUGACUCUGAGGCACGAAAGCGUGGGGAUCAAACAGG